GUGGGGAAUAUUGGACAAUGGGCGCAAGCCUGAUCCAGCCAUGCCGCGUGUGUGAAGAAGGCCUUUUGGUUGUAAAGCACUUUAAGCGAGGAGGAGGCUACUUGGAUUAAUACUCUAGGAUAGUGGACGUUACUCGCAGAAUAAGCACCGGCUAACUCUGUGCCAGCAGCCGCGGUAAUACAGAGGGUGCGAGCGUUAAUCGGAUUUACUGGGCGUAAAGCGUGCGUAGGCGGCUUUUUAAGUCGGAUGUGAAAUCCCUGAGCUUAACUUAGGAAUUGCAUUCGAUACUGGGAAGCUAGAGUAUGGGAGAGGAUGGUAGAAUUCCAGGUGUAGCGGUGAAAUGCGUAGAGAUCUGGAGGAAUACCGAUGGCGAAGGCAGCCAUCUGGCCUAAUACUGACGCUGAGGUACGAAAGCAUGGGGAGCAAACAGGAUUAGAUACCCGAGUAGUCC
rnacentral:rRNA from 1 species